UACGUAGGGUGCAAGCGUUGUCCGGAAUUAUUGGGCGUAAAGAGCUCGUAGGCGGUUUGUCGCGUCGGCUGUGAAAACCUGAGGCUCAACCUCGGGCCUGCAGUCGAUACGGGCAAACUAGAGUUCGGUAGGGGAGACUGGAAUUCCUGGUGUAGCGGUGGAAUGCGCAGAUAUCAGGAGGAACACCGGUGGCGAAGGCGGGUCUCUGGGCCGAAACUGACGCUGAGGAGCGAAAGCAUGGGGAGCGAACAGG
rnacentral:rRNA from 1 species